GCGGCACAGAAGUCGGACGAUCGUCGAGCGGCGGCUGCCCGGCCCCCUACUUCUGCUACCUCCCGCGGCACGAGACGCGGCGGUUGGUGCGCGGCGAGUGCGGGGAGAGAAAAGACCUCGCGAGGCGCGAGCAGAUGGGCCUGGCGGGGCGGCAGCACCGGCGGCGGCCGCUGCGCGGCGGGGCCUGCACCGCGCUCUGGGCCCGGGCGACGGAGGCGGAGCGGCGGCGCGAGCGGCCGGAGCCGCAGGCCGCGGCGGUGCACCAGCGGCACAAGCGCGUCUUGCAGGGCCGCUACACGCUCGACGUGAAGCGGCACGGGUACCGGCCGCGGCAGUAGACGCGCGAGUUGAGCGCGGAGCUGCGGCGGUACCGGAGGCAGGACGACGCGGUGAGCCUCCGGUCCCAGGAGAAGUACCUGCGGCGCGACGAGCCGCAGCGCGCCCUCCGGGAGGCGGAGGACAGGCUGCGGCCGCGGUGCGGGGGACGGCAGCAGGAGUAGUCUCUCGAGGAGGUGCCGACGCUGCUGCUGCCUAGUUGUAGAAGAAAUAGGCCGUGCUGCCCGUGGCUCGUGCUCAUGCUCCGAGACCACUCGCCCCCGCCCAGCGGCCUCAAGCGCCGGGCCACCGGCCGCCUGCUCUUGCUCGGCUAGCGCGAGUUGAUGUGCAGCCCGUGCUGCAGCGCCGGGUUCCCGCACUAGAUGUGGGUGGCGCCGCGCAUGGAGUUGUCGGAGCGGCGGCACGACGAGUUGCUGUACCGCAGGUACGGCCACAUGGAGACCUGCCACGGGUACAAGGUGACGUUGCCGACCACGUACCGCACCCCGCACCGCCGCGUCCCGCCGUGGUUGCAGACGGAGGCGUUCCAGUGGCCGCGCCGGUAGAAGCUGCGGCACCGGGCGGUGCCCCAGUGGGUGUACCCGCCGCGCGGGUGCCACGACCCGUACUAGCACGUGCGGCGCGGCCUCCUCUCCGCCGGCGACGGCGGCCCCUCCUUCCACCGGCACUACUGGCCGCCGCGCGGGGGCGGCGGCCGGCACGACAAGGCCUACCUCCUCGAGCCCAAGGACCACUAGGUGAGCAUGCCCGACUGCCUCUGCAUGCCGGGCCGGUGCCACACGUGCACCUUCGGGCUCACCCUGCGCGACGGCCGCCCGCUCGCCCGCCGCUAGUUCCGCGCCGUCCCCGAGGUGGUGGACCCGGACCUCCACCUGCAGUUCCUGGGGCGGUGGUACGCGUCGCAGGGGCGGCUGCCCCGGUGCUACCCCCUCCACUACAAGGCGCCGUUGUGCCACUACUCGCCCAUGAUGUUCCUGCGCCGGCGGUGCCGCCUCCGCGAGCGGCCGCCCACCAAGGCCAGCCCGCUGGACCGCCACGCCCAGGGGCCCCUGCCCAUGCACUUCUAGUCCCUGUCCAGGUUCCUGUAGUAGUAGAGGCCGCCCCUCUUGUAGUCGUGGUAGCUCCACCUCCGCCGCGACAAGCGCGUGGGCCGCCACCGCCUCCGCCGGCAGCACCCCGCCGGCCUGCUCGUGACCCCCCUCUGCGGCACGCGCAAGCACCACCGGUUCUUACCCCUCUCCCACCUCGGCCUCCUCCACCACCGCAAGACGGCCCCGUCCGACGGCGCCAUGUACCGCGGCUCCUGCCACCACCACCACCUCCUCGACGGGUUCUGCCGCUGGCCGUUCCACGUCUUCAAGCGCGAGGCCCUCUUCCGGUUCCGGUACCCGUCGGAGAGGUGGUCGUUCGAGACUUAAUGAGAUGAGGAGGGGAUUAGACAAGAUGCCACUAACGUUAGGUACAAACCAAACUUUACUUAUUAACCUCACUUAGUGUUUUGCUUAUUACUAAAUGUUUAGACAUUUAUACCACGGCCAUCGAAAACAAGCCCGAAGUAUAAGCAUACAAUAUGGGCACAAAGUAAUAGAAGUACUACUAAAAAGAUCCGAAAACCAAGCUAUAGGUCGGUAGUAACAAAGAGAAAAACUAAAAAAAAUCCCCUUUCGGUAGUAACAAAGACUUUGCUUGGGAAG
rnacentral:rRNA from 1 species